GUGCUCACUUCAGCAGCCCAUAUACUAAAAUUGGAACAAUACAGAAAAGCUUAGCAUGGCCCCUGUGCAAGGAUGAUAUGCAAGUUCAUGAAGUGCUCUAUAUUCUU
ensembl:snRNA Gm23846 U6 spliceosomal RNA